UCUCGUACACACGGCUUCGGGCUACCUACUCGAGCCAGUUAGAGAGUACGGGGCGUUCACAGACUCCCUUAGCCCGCCAGCAUGCUGUAAGUACUUCCCCUUUAUCUUUUUCUCUCUAGCAUUCUUAGUUUAUUUUCAGCAUUGCUCACUUAGAAACAACCUAAAUUAUGUAGGCAUAUAAGGCCUUUGUCGAGCAUAGGAAUCUCGAGGUGCGAGAGUACUUGCAACGAGUGAAGGCAAACGAUGAUUACAACCGUCAGAUGAUGGCGGCUAUGUUGGCGUCUUGGAGUAACCGCACGGAUCCACCACAAAUGGGACCCCCACCACCACCUGCGGGAGAACCCCCACACGUGCCCACGUUCGAUGAAUGGGUGGCACUAGGCAGUGAUAGUCCGGGGACCGGUGGCUCGACUCCUGCUCCAUCGACCCCAGUCACUCCGAUC